GGGGGGGGGUAUUCGAACGCUGGUAUAAAGAAAGAAUGGCAACUUCUUAUAAUUUGGUAAAAUGAUGCAUCUUGUAAUGUGGUUGGAGGGCGUUGUGGCACACACCCCUUCCCUUGAUUCUAAAUGUGCACUACUAGUGUGAAGACGAGAAAUUUUUGUAAUUUUUUU